UUUAAGUGCAAUCAUAAAUUUUCGUGUCCAACUUUAAUCAUUUGUCUUAUUUAAAAAAAUUUUAUAAUUAGUUUUUUUAUUGUUAUGAGAUGAUAAAAUAUUAAUAGUAUUCUAUAUGUGACUUAUGUUUUUUAAAUUUUUUAAAAAAAUUUUAAAUAAGAUGGAUGGUAAAAGUUGUGAACGGAAAAUUAUGGCUGCACUUAAG
rfam:Oryza glumipatula chromosome 1, whole genome shotgun sequence.